rnacentral:tRNA from 1 species
GGUUGUGGCUCAGUGGUAGAGCGCUCGCCUCGUGUUGCGAGACCUUGGGUUCGAUCCUUAGCACCA